GCGAUUUGAACGAGAACUACGAAAGAAAACCCUCGAAUAGAUGGAUCGGGGCGUGGAAAACCACGAUAAGAACGAUGAAGAGAACCAUAUAGAGAGAUCCAAAAACCCUAAAAUCCACAAAGGGGUAAGGGAAGGAGAGAGAUACCUCGCUUCGACAUCUUGGAAGAGCUCCGAAUCUGAGCCUACGGGAGGGUUUGGUAGCGGCGGCCUUCCCGUUUUAUGCUACCGCGGGAAGGGCGGCUCUAGG
rnacentral:lncRNA from 1 species